GACGAACGCUGGCGGCGUGCUUAACACAUGCAAGUCGAACGGAAAGGCCCCUUCGGGGGUACUCGAGUGGCGAACAGGUGAGUAACACGUGAGUAACCUGCCCUUGACUUCGGGAUAACUUCAGGAAACUGGGGCUAAUACCGGAUAGGAAUUCUUGCUGCAUGGUGGGGGUUGGAAAGCUUCGGCGGUUUUGGAUGGACUCGCGGCUUAUCAGCUUGUUGGUGGGGUAGUGGCUUACCAAGGCUUUGACGGGUAGCCGGCCUGAGAGGGCGACCGGCCACAUUGGGACUGAGAUACGGCCCAGACUCCUACGGGAGGCAGCAGUGGGGAAUAUUGCACAAUGGGCGGAAGCCUGAUGCAGCAACGCCGCGUGCGGGAUGACGGCCUUCGGGUUGUAAACCGCUUUCAGCAGGGGCGAAGCUUGUGGUGACGGUACCUGCAGAAGAAGCACCGGCUAACUACGU
rnacentral:rRNA from 1 species